UGCCCCAGUAGUAUAAAACACUAUUAUCCUGGCCUUGUAAACCAGARAUGAGACUACCUCCAGGGGC
rnacentral:tRNA from 1 species